CAUCCUGCCCUUCUCUAGGGAGCUGUGGCCAUAAUGAGUGGUUUUGUUUGCAGUUGGCACCAGGCUCAGGGCUCUGAAUAUAUUUCCUUGGGAAGUAUAUCCUGAGACACUGUGGGAUCCUCCUUGGCUUCUUGCCAGGCUUUGAAAGAGUUUAUUGACGUGUCUCUUGCACUGCCUCCUCUUCUGUUUAAUGCCUCUUUGCUUGUGUGUCUAACUGCUCCUACUACUUUUUCUAUUUUUGUACACUUUUCAUACUUCAUAGCAGCCUUGUGACAGAGAUAAAACAAGACCAACAAUAUCACUUAAACUGUGGCUGACCAAUUGGUAGCCCCAAUAUGUAAACAUUAUCGAGACUCAAUAGAAAUUUCUUCAGUUGUAUGGAUAUUUCUAUGUUUGAAAAAAUGCACAAUGUCACAUUGAGCCCAAUUAAACUUGCAAGCCCCUUGUAGCUGUCACAGCAGCUGUUCUGAUGUACUGUUUCCGACAGCUGUCGUGGAGUACAAUAUUCAAACAAAUCAAGCAGAACUGACAACUUUGUGGCUGGGUGGAGGGCCUGGAAGUGGGAAAAGAAUUCUAUGCAAUGCAGACACUGAAGAUUCAGAUUCUGGACUCAAUUUAUGAAACUAAGAUUGUGGUUAAUUAGCUUGCCAACUAAUGAGAUGAUCAUAUCUUCUUCCUAACUAGCAAUAAUUAGUUCUACACUGUUUACAUGAUUCUUUCCUCAUGCAGAAUACUCUAUGGUGUUCACAAGACAAUAGUGGCCAUUCCUGGCUCUUACGGCCAUGUCAAUUUCUUCAGGAGUAUAGUUCAUAUGUGAUUUGGAUGUUCUCUUGGGGAGUCCCCUGUUGUGAUUAACAUGUAUAACAUCUGCAGUCAUUAACAUUUCCCUCCACUGGCUGUCCCAGGGAGAUUAAAUUUGAUUCAUGUUAAGAAUAUAUCAAAGACAAAGAUCCUAUGUCAUCUUAGCACUUUCUUAUUAAUUGUGUCUUGACAAGAAUUCCCUCACUAACUGCCAAGUGCUUCAUUUAAAUAGGGAUCUAUUUUCUAAAGGAAUCUUUCAGGGAGGAAAAAAAUAAUGGUAUUAAUUGAAUGCAUGUGGAGCAUGCAUGUUCUAAGCACAACAUUCUGUGGUUAAUAAAUACAUAUAUAGCGUGUGCUAAUUAGCACUUGGGAGUAUUGGUUUAAGGUUAAGCCAAGGAAUUUCUAAUACCAUGCCAGGAAAUAAUUAAUUGGGGGAAAGAUCCAAAUGUAAGGUAUUGUUAUUUUAAAGGCAUUUAUGUCAAGACUUAUUUCAAAAAUCUAAAUUUACUUUAUUGGAAAACAAUUGAAUGUAUAGCUUUUUGGAUUCUGUUUUGGCCAAAGUCCAGAAGUAACUGUUUUCACCAUUGUUCGAUUUUGGCAAAAGCAUAUCAAGACCCUAGGUACCCUCCUAAAUAUCUGAUCAAAGCUGUAUAUUUUAAUGAACCUUACUAGUUAUAUAUCUGAGAAAUCAUCCUUGCAGACGGAAAAGUCCUCUUCUUUGGAGAAGCUAUGGUUUUGCUUAAUGCUGUGGUGGAAAGUGGCAGACAGAUGUCAAGAAUUUAGGAGCAACUAUUGCUGAGAUUAUGUUUCUCUGCCACAGAUGGCAUUUCUCUCCACCCCUCCUGCCUACACCCUUCUUUUUCUCCUUCUUACACUUUAUCCCGGAUCUGAUAUGACUGUGCCAGUUUGCUGUCUACUGCUGUGAUGGAAUAUCCAAUGCAAGUUGGACAAGAAAGUGAUUAUCUUAUCUCACAAAGUGCAGUGUCAUGCAGGAAAGUAAGGGCAGGAAAUCAAGGCAAGAACCUGGAGGCAGGAACUGAAGCAGAGACCAUGGUGGGGUGUUGCUUACACUCGUGAUGUCCACAGCUUACUCUCUUGCUUUUUUUAUACAACACAGGAACACCUCCCCAGAGGUGGCACCACUCAGUAGGCUGGGCAUUCAAACAUCAAUCAUUAACCAAGAACAUGCUUAAUAGGCUCUCCUGCAUGCCAUUCUGAUUGAGGCAUUUUCUCAAUUGAAGGUCUGUAUGUCCAGUGAAUUCCAGUUUGUGUAAUGUUAACAAAACAAACAAACAAACGAAAAUCUAGAUUAUAUCCAGAUUAUAUCUCAUUAUAUUAUGCCGUUUUUCUAAAAUCAUUUGAAAAAUAUGGAACCAUGUAAUAGUCAAGAAUAACUGGUUUCAUCUCCUUGUAAAGAUGAUAUUGUCAAGCUCUCAUUAUUCAGGUUGUGGGUUCAUCUUCUAAUUUCAUUAGAACAUAAUGACACACUCUUUCCCCUUUUUUCUAUGUUUCACGUUGAUCCAAGUUAUUGAGUUAUGAUUCAAAAUUUAAUAUUGACUUGCCAUGCACAUUUGAGAAAUCUGAAAAACUUGAUUUUUCUUUUGUAGCAAAAGAUGAUUUGUGAUUGGGAAAUGUGAAGAAGGCCCUGUUGGUUACUACACUAGUUUACAGCCAGUUUAAUCCCUUUGAAAUAAUUAUCUUGAAAGAGCCUGCAUUCAAUCUGGUAACGGGUGGUGGAAAAGGCCAUAGCUAAGUGGUGUUACAUUAAGGAGAACUCUUGGAGUCUUAGAUCAAAUAUACGUUAAGAAAUUUCCCUUAGGAAAUUAUAGUCUUUGCUAUUGCUAGUUUAAAGUGUCCUGCUGGACCACAUGAUUUCUUUAAAAGGCUAUAUUUGUGGUUGUUUUUACUCUUAGUCUUGAGUGCUCUGGGUGAUUUUGCUAGUUAUUUUUAUAAGAGCGUUUACAUGAGAGAACUGUGGUCCAAGAGUCAAGUUCGACUUUUGUUGAAGAAUGGUGAGUAGCUCUUUGAGCCAGUCUCUCUGUCUUCACCCCCACACCACACCACACAGAAUUUAGACAUAAAUUUAUACUUUAAUAUUUUAACUCCAGCACAAACCUCUUUUCUUUUGUCUGAGAUAUUCCUUGUAUUUGGUGUUCAGUUAUCUGUCUGUUUCUUUUUUCCCCAUACUACCCAGCCCCUUAAAAAAUAUCAUGUACAUACCAAGAAACAGCUCUUGGCAUCUUUUGGUUGAAUGAAUUUCACCUUACAUUUUGGCUACUAUAACUGGCUCUGAGCCUUUACCAGUCCUUUGAUAGAAACAUAAACUUUCACACUUAGGUCCUGAAAUGGUUUCAUUCCUCUAUUCGCAGUUGCCUUUUUGCCAUGUUUUCAUCUUAAGUUGUAUGUCUUCCUCAUUUUCUUUCCUUGCUGAAGCAAGCACCUUGCUGAUGUCACCACAAACACGGUAUUUUUCUUGUGGAUGAAAGCUCUGACUUCCUGCUCUUUGAGGAUGUUCCAUGGAUUUCUUUAAGCUUUUUAAAAUCCCUUUCAUUGCAGUGGAUGGAUUGGCACCUCUGCUGUAAUGUCCACUAGAGUGUGACUUUGAUUUCUGGCUAUCACUUCACUAAAUCAUAUACUUUACCUUCAGUCCUGUUGUUUUUGGAAUGUGGAUGAUGACAAUAACAGAUGCCGGUGAUAAUAGAAUUUCUAGUACUUGAGUGCCGUGAGGAUUAAAGGAAUUGAAGUAAAACCCAGACCAGCCAGUGACAUGGGCUGGGUGUUUAAGAAAUGGUUCUGUUAUCUUCAACAGCCAUUUUUCCAAGCACUUGCCUUAGGUCCCCUGCUGAAAUUCUUCAUUUUACCUGGAGACUAUAAACUUUGGGUGACAGAGAAGCCAGGCCUCUUGCUUUCUGUUAAAUUUGCUACCCUGCUUUCUGAGAAAUCCUAUACAUACGAGAUCCUUAUAAAUCUUUGCCUCGGGAAUUAAACUCAAAAUCAGAAGUAUGCAAUGUGUUCUUUAGGAAGUCUUUUCAAAGGAGCUCAUCUAUAGACUCGCUAGAAGUCACGUGGCUCGAGUGGAAUGAGUAUCAGAUGCUCCACCUGUCCCCUUCAUUGUUCAUGGUAAUGCAUUUCCUUGAGCUGCCUGGAGCAAAGAACUGGAGAUACUUUCUGUACACACACAAAGUAUCACAUGGCCAAUGGCCCACAAAGAAGAUUGGCAUCAGCGUGCGGAGGCAAAGAGUAAACGGCCAUUAAUAUGGUAAGAAGUAUUGUACAAUAGCAACAACAGUAGCAACAACAACAGCAGCAGCAGCAGCAACAAGAACACAAGCCACUCAAAGAGACAAAAGUCUUAAAGAGACAGAGUAGCUGAUGAAUGUUCGCGUUUCCAGAGGCUCUGGAGACUUCUUCCCACUGGAGUUGGGAGAGGACUGGCAACUUUCCUGGCACUCAGUUGGCCACUUUCUAGGAGGCACUUCCACUCUGCACAAGGAACAUUAAUUUCUUAUUGAAAUAUCUUCUUAUUUUAGGUUAUGAUUGUUCUCUCUCCCAGUCUCCGAAGUUAUGUGCACAUCCUUUUAAAAGUAGUUGCUUCUGGUAAUGAAAAUAUUACAACGUUUAAUUAGCCUGAUGACAGUAAGGGAACUGGAGUCUGCAGCAUAUUCUUGGAUUAUACAUUUGAAUUGUGUGAAUUAAAGGAUGGGCAAAUUAGUUUUAAAAUGUUAAAUGAAAAGAAGAAGGUUGAUUUUAACUCCAGUUGUAGGGCUAAGGUCCUUUUGGUCAGUACAAACUGAAGGUAGAGAUGUUGGUGUUUUAGGUGAGGCAGGUUGAGAGAGCUGUUGGGGAAGUCUGCUUUCCUUUCUCUGAAUUGACUGAGGUGUGCUGAUCUAGGAGUGCUGGUUCUCCUCAUUCCUUCCUUCCUUCUUUAAUCUUAAAGUGGCUGCAUUAGCUACAACCAGCUGUCUGAAGCAAGGAACACACCCCAGCUGUUCUGCUGGUCCUGGGCUCCAUUGUGGCGGUUCUGGAGAUUUCAGAAUUAAUAGCUCUCUGCAGACCUAGUAAGGUUAAGAUUGUGUUGCAAAGCCAACACGUGUGUAUACUUCAGAGCACUUGAUUGAGUGCGUAGGGAUUUGCUUUAAAAAAGAAACAACCAAGUUUAACUUCCCAUUAUCACUGUUGACUGUCUGUGUUGAGGCCCCAAGUGUGAAGGGUACAGCAAUGUCUAAGAUUUUGCUAGGGUUUUACUUGUUAUAGCCUCUUGGCAUGUAAUUAGGGCUGUUUAUGAUUUCCUGAUGUUAUUCCCUUUUUUGGUUUUAGUUUCCUUAAUUUUCUUUAUUCAGACACUAUGUGCCUGACCUAUUUCAAAUAAUGACAACUUCAAAGGCAGCUGUGCCUCCUACCACUCCCAAACAUAUGUGCUUUGGUUGCUUAAAAUGUUCCAAUCCGGGGGCUGGGGAUUUAGCUUGGUGGUAGAGCGCUUACCUAGGAAGCGCAAGGUCCUGGGUUUGGUCCCCAGCUCCGAAAAAAUAGAACAAAAAAAAAAAAGAUGUUCCAAUCCAGAAUCCACCUUUCUUUUGACUAUUGGUUAAAAGUGUGUGUGUGUGUGUGUGUGUGUGUGUGUGUGUGUGUGUGUCACAGAGAGAGACAAAGAGAGACAGAGAAGGGGCAGGUGAAGAAAUGGGACAGACCUCUCUAUCUGUAUGUAUACCUUAUACCCCAGACAUGUACAAGUACCAGAAGAGGGUGUUGGAUUCUCUGGAACUGGAGUUACCAAUCGUUGUGAACUGCCUGAUGUGGGUGUUGGGAUUCAACCCAGGUCUUCUUCUAGAGUGUUCUUUACCUUUGGGGCACCUGUCCAACUCAAAGCAUCAUCUUCAAGUGAAGAAUCACGAGGAAAAAGACUAGGGAUUGAAGAAAAUUCUCCUUUUGGACAAGUUAACUGACUUACACGUUUGUAUUUUUUCUCUUAGCUUCUUUUGUUCCGUUUCUAUUGUGUAUGUGCGUACACACAAUGUCUGGAACAUAGAAUAUAGAGGGGUGUACAGUGACUGAAAUAUGACUCUAUGCUUGCAUAUUACAGUCUGUCGUCAAAUUCACAUAUUAACACAUUUUACUUGAGUUUAGGUGUUUUUAUUUAAACUCAUCUUUAUCACAAUAUCUGUUGAAAUUUUUAACUAAAGAAAUAGUUUAAAAUUGUGAGUGAAGUUCAGUACAUUUUUAUGGAAGAUACUCAGUGUAAAUUGGUUUUACAAUACAAGCUAUAGAUGCAUGCUGUAAUUUGAGAUUGGUUUCUGUUAGAAUCAUAGUUUAGUAUUAUGGCAAUCGAUUAUAAUAACUACUAUUAUUAUUAAGUCAGCCACUAAAAUAUGCAAGUGCUUCUAUGUUCUAUGUAGUAAACUAGUACUAAAACAUUAAUUUUGUACUGAAAAUACAGCAAAUAUUAUCAUAUUUGUACCUCCCCCCCUCUCUGUGUGUGUGAAUGAAUAACAAAUCUAUUAAAUACGUUUAAAAAUUGGUCUUUUUCUUAUUGAAUAAAUGUUUAUGAUGAAUAUAAAGUAAUAAAAAUUAAAAUGCUUUUGCUUAUUACCAAAGUGACUGUUUAAACUUUUAGUGAUUUCAGAUGACAAAGAGCCUGUUAUGUCUAUUUGUAUUAAAAAGAUAAAUUUUUAUCGCCAUAUAUAAUUAGUAAUUUGUCAGCACAUGUCUUCGGCGUGCCCUCAAAAAGCAAGAUUCAGGUUCUUGUUAAAAUAUAGCUUCUGUCCCAUUGGAAUAUGGUAGGAGUACAAGAUGUGAUUAUAGACAAAAAGUGAAUGCGGAUUGAGAUUUUAGGGAAGGGAAAGCACUUUAAGCAUCAUAAAAAGUGGGAACCUAGGGAGUAUAGGAUCUGCACACAUAGUAAGAUCCCUUUCAGUUCAGGACAGCCCCGAACUAACAAUGGGGAGGAGCCAAUUCUGAAAAAGGUAGAUUUUUAAAGGUUUAAAGGCAAGAAGAAGGAAUCUAUUUGGCUCAAAAGACAGAAUGAAUUCAGGCUUCUAAGACACAACAGGUUCACAGGGCCAGGUUUAUAGACAGGGAGGAGCCAGAGCUGGAAGUUCUGCAAGGAGGAUCUUGCACUAUGCAAGUAUGUAGGGAAACAGAAAUUCUCUGAGAAUAUCUUGGCUACAGUGCUACUGUCCUCUACUGAAACUAAAUAUCUUCAUGAUAAUGGCCUCCCAACGAAGUUAGGAUCUCUUUGACCAAGUAGCUUAGCUGAAAUUUCCGUUGUAUUAGUUAUUGUAUAUUAGAACAUUAAGGCUUUUAUUUAGCAGAAAUGAUUUUUUGUUUAGAUUUAUUUAUGUAUUUAUUUUUUUAGUUUCUUUUUACACUCCAGAUUUUAUUCCCCUCCCUGUCCAUCCCCGAGAGUUUCAGAUCCCAUACCUCCUCCCCACCCCGCCAUUCCCCUCCACCCCGUCCUCACAAGGAUGUUCCCACCUCACCCACCCUACUAAACUUCCUGAGGCCUAUAGUCUCUUGAGGGUUAGGUGCAUCUUUUCUAACUGAACCCAGAUCUGGGAUUUCUCCACUGUAUAUGUGUUGGAGGCCUCAUCUCCGCUAGUAUAUGCUGCCUGGUUGGGGAUCCAGUGUCUAAGAGAUUUCAGGGUUCCAGCUUAAUUGAGACUACUGGUUCUCCUACAGGGUUGUCCUCCUUAGCUUCCUCCAGCUUUUCCCUAAUUUAACCAGAAGGAUCAGCAGCGUCUGUUCAUUGUUUGGGGGUACAUAUCUACAUCUGACUUUCAGCUGUUUGUUGGGUCUUUUGGAGAGCAGUCAUGGUAUGUGCCUUUUUGUGAUUGCCGCAUAGCUUCAGUAAUAGUGUCAGGUCUUGGGGCCUCCCCUUGAGCUGGAUCCCACUUUGGGCUUGUUGCUGGACCUUCUUUUCCUCAGGCUCUUCUCCAUUUCCAUCCCUGCAUUUCUUUCAGACAGGAAGAAUUAUGAGUCAGAGUUUUGGCUGUGUGAUGGCAACCCCAUCCCUCACUUGAUGCCCUGUCUUUCUGCUGGAGGUAAAACUUCAAUAAGUUGCCUCUCCCCACUGUAGGACAUUUCAUCUAUGGUCCCCACCCCCUUGAGUACUGAGAGUCUCUCACUUCCCAGGUCUCUGAUACAUUCUGAAGGGUUCUCCAACCUCCUUCUUCCCGAGGUUGCCUGUUUCCUUUCUUUCUGCUGGCCUCUAGGGCUUCAGUCCUUUUCCCCAACCCCAAACCAGAUCAUGUUCCCUUCUUCCCCCAUCCCCAUCCCCAUUUCUCUACCCUGUCCCUCCCUUCUUCUCUCCCCCCUUGUGGUUGCUUUCUUCUCCCUCCCAAGUGGAACUGAGGAGACUUCACUUGGGUCCUUCAGCUUGUUGAAUGUUUUGAGUUCUGUGGACUGUAUCUUGGGUAUUCUGUACUUUUUGGGGAGCUAAUAUCCAUUUAUUAGUGAGAACAUACAGUGCAUGUCCUUUUGGGUUUGAGUUAUCUCACUCAGGAUGACAUUUUCUAGUUCCAUCCAUUUGCCUAUAAAACUCAGGAUGUCCUCAUUCCUAAUAGCUGAGUAGUAUUCCACUGUGUAAAUGUACCAUAUUUUCUGUAUCCAUUCUUCUGUCGUGGGACAUCUGGGUUCUUUCUAGCUUCUGGCUAUCACAAAUAAGGCCGCUAUGAACAUGUGCCCCUGUGGCAUGGUGGGGCAUCUUUGUGGUAUAGUCCCAAGAGUGGUAUUUCUGGGUCUUUAUGUAGGUCUAUUUCCAAUUUUCUGAGGAACCUCCAAAUUGAUUUCCAGAGUGGUUGUACCAGUUUGCAAUCCCACCAGCAAUGGAGGAGUGUUCCUCUUUCUCCACAUCCUCACCAGCAUCUGCUGUCACCUGAAGUUUUGAUCUUCGCCAUUCUCACUGGUGUGAGGUGGAAUCUCAGGGUUGUUUUGAUUUGCAUUUCUCUGAUUGUUAAGGACUUUAAAUAUUUCUUUAGGUACUUCUCAGCCAUUCAAGAUUCCUCUAUUGUGAAUUCUUUGUUUAGUUCUAUACCCUAUUUUUUGAUUUGGUUGUUUGGGUUUUUGGUGGUAAGCUACUUGAGUUCUUUAUAUAUUUUGGAUAUUAACCCUCUAUCAGAUGUGGGAUUAGUGAAGAUUUUUCCCUAAUUUGCCAGAGGCUGACUUUUAUUUCUGGCUAGUGUUGUUUUCAUUUUAAAGUGAAUUAAGUUUUAUGUUGGAACUGUAUAUUCUCUCCCUCCAUUUUUGCAUUAGAUGACUAAGUAAGAGACUUUUUUAAAAGAAGGGACUUAAUUGGAUGAUCAACAUGUAAGUACAGGAAAGAAAAAAAAGACUAAUGGGUCUUUUCUCCAUAUACUUCAAAUUAGAUAAAAUUAAUAGCAGUAGGGUUUUUAAGUGAUUUCUCAGUGAUAUUGCCUAUAAAGGUAGAUACUUUUUUUAAUGAAGUUUUUCCUGGAAUCCUCUUCUAUUUGAUAUAUGAUGGAAUCAUUACUGCUUAUGUGAUUGGAUUUAAUUUCUGUUUGUUUAUUUUAUUUUAUUUUGUUGUUAUGGUAUUGUUCAAAAAGAGUAUUUCUGUGUGCCCCUAAUUAGCCUGGAAUUUUCUCUGUAGACAAGAUGGAUCCACAACUUUCAGCAAUCCUUCUUUUGCUCCUUCCAAGUGCUGGGCAUAGAAGUAAUUCACCAUGGCUGCGUUGUAUUAUGUUUCAUUUUCAGUAGGAACGUAGGUUAAUGUACAGUUGUUAAGCCAAAGUAUGAAUGUUUUCUAUGGAAUAACAUGCAGCACUAGGAAGGAGGCUUCAGUUACAUUCCAGAUUCUUUCCUCUGCUUACCUGGAGUCAUUUUCUCCAUUUCCCUGCCCAUCGGAGCUGUUCACAUCCCUUAGGCCUUCCUGUGAGGUUCAAAAGGAAUCUUGGUUGUGGAUGAUGUGUGUGCUGUAUACACAGGCACUUAGUGAAGGUGUGUUUUUAUCUCAUCCUGUGUACCUAUGGAUAAUACUUGUUAUAUGCAGACAUUAACAUUCUUCCAUUGCUACCUAUUGAGAUAGUUUUAGAUCUAGACAAUGCUUAAGAGAAAUAGCAAACAUACAGUAACAAAAUUAACAACAAAAUAUCAAAUCAAAUGUUGUCUCACCAUUGUCUCUGUUGAAAACUCUACACUCUGUAGAGCCCUGGUAUGUGAGUGAAGCCUGUAUAUCCUAGACCUUUGACUUCUAACAUUUUGGAUUAGAUAGAUCCUCUACUAUGACUCUGCAAGUAUUGCCAUGCUAGCAUCUUACUUUGAAUCAUGACAGCCAGACUAUUGUCACACAUUGCUAGUGUCCUCUGAUAGGAAAGGCAAGUCCAGUGGAAGACUACUAGAAUGUUUAAGUUACGGGUUAGAAGAAGUAGACAGCUGUCCAUAUAUGUAUGCCAGACAAGGUUUGAAAGAGAAAUCUUUUAUCAGAAGUAUGAAUGAACAUUCACUGGCUUGAGAAAUCAGCUAUGUCAGUUUGGAGCGGUAAAUUUUAGUUCUUUUAUUACCUGUGUAGUGAGAGCAAGAUUGUCUCAAGAGCUCAUGCUCCAGUGUUGUUGCCUGGAAUAUUGGAUCAUAUUGGACUCAGUGAGUUAACUGAUUUACAGUCUUAGACACUGUAAAAGUGCCAAAUAAAUGUCACUGUUGUUCACCAAUGAACUGUGUUAGAGUAUAUUUAAUUUAAUUAGUAUAUGGUUAUGUUUUAUUUUAAAGUUAGUUUUUAAAGUUAGUUUUGUCUCAACUCAAACCUUCCCAUCGCAUGCUCCUUAGAACAUGUUAAAAUUUGAUGCCAUUGGCUCCUGAACAUUGAAAGAGUAGACUGUGAUUUUGUUUUGCUUUGCUUUAUCUUGGUUUUUAGACAGUCUCAAAAUGUGGUCCAGGCUACUUCUGAACUCCCUGCCUUCUGGCAUUUUCCUCCCAAGUGCUGGGAUUAAACAUGAGCACCAGGACACCCAGCAGCCAUAUGCUGAUAGAAGUUUUGUCUGCAGUUUCACUGAGAAGCAAGCAAGGAUCAGCCCAGAUGGAGUGCUUAGAGCAAAGAAGUGGAGUACUGAUGGUGCACCUGGCACUUAACUCUCUGCACCUUUUCUCACCAAAGCAGCAGCAAAGCACAAACAGCUAGAGCUAUUGACCUCAGGGGUAGGUGAUGCUACCCUGGCAUCAAGCCAAAAACUCACCCAGGACUGACCACUGCAGGCAUGUAGGAACUCUCUGAUGAUAGUGUCAAUGAGUAGGUAGUCAUACUGUGUCCACAAAUGAUGCAUGUGUCAUCUGCAGAGUAAUUUGUGUGUUGGCAUAUCUACUUUCCCUCAAAAUAAGGAAAAGCAAACUUAUUCAUUUGGAAAAUGGAGUGUUUUAUAAUGGAAUUAUUUUACUUUUCCUUAGGCUUCCCUGUUGCUUUAGUUGUUAAUUUGACUCUUAAGUUGUUGGCAGUAAGAUCUGCCUUUGAGAUUCUAUCACAAAUAGAGCAAUGCACUUCGGUCAUCACAUGAGUACAACCUAUUUCCCAGUUCCUUUUUAAAAAAAAGGAAUCCUACUCCACAUGCUUUGGAGGUGUUAAGCCCUACAAGGUGCACUCGCUGUAUGGAAUGGAUGUGACACUGUUGUUAGGAUUCCUCCAGCAACCAACAAUUGACAUGUGGUGACCUGUUUUCUGGAGGGUGGAGGGUGACUCUUGACACGUAGAAACGUUGAAACUUAUAAGGAUCGUGAAGCUCAGAAGGUUAAAAUGUUCAUAUGGCCGCUUUCUAGGGUUGUGUUAGCAGUUACUUGAGAGGGGGCAACCUUGGUUGAGAUGCCUGUAGCAAGGGCAGAGGUCCCAGGGAUGCAGCUUGUGAGUAGUGAGCCUUGAUUUUUAGAUUGAUCUUUUCAAAUAUUAGGCUUCCUGAGGCUCACCGAACUCUGGAAGGAAUCCCAAUAAAUCUAUCAGUUCACUAAACUCUACUUAGGUGAAACCCCUUCUUUAGCAUAUUAUCUGUUCCAUACCUUGGUAAAUAAAUGUCUGCCCACAUCUCUAGAGGGAAAGUUAUAGAGCACAUCACUGUAAAAUGGAAUGCUUUACCAGCUGAAUAAGUAGCCUUAGCCCUACAUUUUUUGGGUCUUUCUGAUGUCUUUAUAUUACCAUAGAAGUGGUAUACUGUGUCACAGAAGUUUAUAUGCAGCCUUUUCCUGUGCAAGAAGCCCAUGGACAUACAACAUUAAAACUUAGUACAGAAUAUGUCAUAUGUCUUUUAGCCAGAGGUCCAUGAGUGUGCUUCUAGAAAAGGCUAUAUUAUAAAUAUUUUAGGACUUGUGGGCAUGGGGUCCCUGGAGCAACUCUUUUGCUCCUCUGUGGUAGAAAAAAAGGCAGCCGCAUUAUGCAUAAAUAAGUAUGUGUGUCUGCUUCAGUUUGGUCCUAGGCUCAUAGUGUGAUGACCUCUGCUUUUGGCUUUGCUCAUCAGGCAGGGAGAAGUUGAGCACAUCAGGAAAGGGCCUUGUUUAGCCUAGUGGGAUGAGCUAAGGGGAAGAGAAGGACUUGAUUGGCCUCUUUUGCAGUCUUCUUAGUUAAUAAUGUUUAUUGGGAGCAGAUUAAUUAGAAGGAAGUUCAAAGAGCAUAUCUCUUGGUAAACAGAAGAUGUUUAAUAGCACUUAACCUUUGGAAUUUAUGCAGAAAAAGAUUUGAAUGUUAUUAUGCUUUAUGUCUUUCGGGGGUGCUUCAGGUAUUUGGCUGUUAGUGCUACUUCAAUUGCAAGCUCCUGAAAAAUGAAUAAUUUAUCAGCUGUGGGAUAGUUCUCUUUGCACUGUGUGUCUGACAUUUGGAGCUCUGAACAUCUUAAAUAAAAGUGGAAGAAAGUGUUAGAAAGUGUUGUGCUUGCUGGGUAUGUGGUAAGAGCCCUGCAAAGAGACAGUUCGAUCAUGGGUAUUGAAGCCUGAUAUUGGUUUUCUAAAGGUAGGCGAGAGCAGGCAUAUCAUGGAGAGUUGUCCUCCUUGUGGGCACUCCUGCUGCAGAGGCCCCGUUCUGUUUCAAUGCUUUUUUGUCAAAAAGCUGAAGACAACGCUGGCAGAAAGGCACCAGUGAUCUUGAAGCCAGUGCAAAAGGUACAUAUCCAGGCUCCAUCACGUCAGAGAAUGGAAAGCAUUUGUGAGGCACUACUGGGGAGGGGGAUGUGCCAUGUACUGUAGUUGGAAUCUCUGACAAACAUGGGUGGAUGCAAAGCUUCAGCCAUUGUUGGUUCAUCCUGGCUGUUGGCAGAAGGUACCCAAUUCUACAGAGGUGUGAAGGUUAUAGCGACAUCCUCAUAAGGAUUGAGGUUUGCUCUAGUUGUGUGAAAAAGGAAGACUAAUUAGACUAAAUAAAAAUCCUGGCUGAAUAUGAAGGCAAAUGACUAAUGGGUAAGUCCAUUCAAGUGUGGAGUAAAGUCCCACAGGGAAACACUGAGAGCCUCACAGUGAGACUCAUUUGAAGGAUGCAGAAGAAACACCACUGUAGAGAGCUGAUGCCUGUGAAGUAAUCAGAGCAGCAUCAGCAAAAGCAAUAAAAAGAUGGUUUAACAAUUGUAAAAUAUAUAAUUCUUCUUUUAUUUUAAUUGUUCUGAUUUACAGAGAUGGAAACUGGAGGGGCAUGGGGACAAUUAUAAUAAAACAGUUACUCACAGUCUGGGAUCACUUUCCUCUAGAGUUUGCAGUUAGACAAAUGAAUCUGACACUAACACUAGGCAUGGAAUGGACUGGCUCACUUCCCUUUGGUCUGUGUCCUCAGCCCUGGGCUUUACGGCCUCACAAAUUUAAGUUGCUAACAGCUUACAUUUGUGUGUGUGUGUGUAUGUGUGUGUGUGUGUGUGUAUGUGUGUGUGUAUGUGUGUAUGUGUAUGUGUGUGUAUGUGUGUAUGUGUAUGUGUGUGUGUAUGUGUGUGUGUGUGUGUGUGUGUGUGUGUGUGUGUGUGUGUUUCUUUUUUCUUGGAAGAGUGCUUCCUGGUUUCCUAGAUUUGCCGCCAGUACUUCCCAUCAUUCCACAGUUCUGUCUUUUCAAAUCCUAAGUUUCUGUUUCCAGUCUCUCCUUUGCUCAGAUCAGUCUAUGCUUAUGUGCCCCAAGGAUAUGAGUAUAUAUAAGCAAGGAGCCAUUUCACUACUGUUAGACUUGGUAGUCGCAAUAAAAAGGCAGGUACCUUACAGGAAAUGGAGUGUUGCCUUAGAUACAGAGGGAGUGGUGCUGGAAGCAGAGUUUGUUGGGAUGCUGAGGAAGUGUCCGUGUGGUAAAGUCACAGGAUCCUUUUACUAUGGUAAAAUAGGAGAGCUUUAGAGUUUUGAAGUAGAUUUAUGUUCCAGUCUGCCGGCACUGUAGAACCAAAUAGAUAUCUAGGCAUGGACUGACCAAUGAAAUCAUGAUGGGUAGCCAAAAGGACCAAGCAUGGGAAAUGGGCUACCACUCAGUUCAUUUCUAAGUGCUAUCUAUCAAUAAGCGAUGGAAGCCAGUGAAAAUGGGGGACGGUGUGGUCCAGUUUUGGUGAGUGACUGCUGUGUGUAACAUUCAUCUCACAGUGGGGAGAUGGUUAUAAAAUCAGAUAGGAUAAGGGUCAUGGUAGCUAGAACUGAAGCUCUUGUUGUUAUAUGAAGAAGGGCCAUGUGCAAAUAGUCAGGAUUUAUAAUAAUUCGUUCUUGGUAAGUAUUGUCUAGCUAUAAAGAACAUACACAGGAAAGGAUGAGAAGUAGCUAAGGGAGAGCAUGUUUUUAGUUUCUUUCCAUUCUUGUCCAUUCCUCCACACAUUGGAUCAGAUUAAUGCGGGUUUUGUUGUCUCUCAUAGAGUUUGCUGUGGUUUGUUUCUGUUUCUGUCUAAAAUCCUCAUUUGUUAUGUUCAAGAUGACUAUGUCUCAUCUUAGUGUCUUGUCUGUUUCUCCUUGUCUCAAUAUGUAAGCCUUCAAUGUAGCUAUGGGUAGUAAAUUCAGAAGCCUAUGUUGACCAAACAAGAGAGAUUCAUUAUCAAAGCAAGCUGAUUCAACUUUGCACCAUUUAUACUAAUUCUAGAAGGGAGACAGCAGUCCUUUCUGGUCUAGUCCUCUGGAGAAUACAUGCUCAGAAUCUUUUGAUUUUUCCAAGGGAAGCCUGAAAUUCAGUUUUAUAGGUGAUCUAAACCACAUUUUAAUGUUUUUAGUGGAUUGAAAACCAUUAAGUAUGAAUAAUAUUGAAAUUAAAGGAUGUACUUCUUCACAAGAACAUAGGGGUCCCACAAAUUUGUAAAAUUCCAACAAAUAACAUUUCUCCUCUCCAGCAGUUUCUAGUCUUUCUUAUGCUUAAUGAGAGCAAAGCAGGUAAUGAGGCACCAGCACAUCCAUCAAGGCUGAGUGUGUGAAUCAAAAGUGGAAUGCCAUAGCCUUGCCUCCCACACUGUAAUAUAAACAUGGAAAGAUUCAGAGUACCUUACUGCAGUUAUAUGGAUAAUUAGAGCCAGUGUGGAUAUGGACUGAUAAAUUAUUCAUUCUUCCUUUCCUCACACCUUGUAUGUUCUAGUAAUGGCAGAUAUUCAGACCUGAAGUAGCCUCUGGUUGACCAAGGCUAGGGAUGGGGCUCCUCCUCCUUCCUCUGCCCCUAGACCAAAGUUAGCAUCAUGAUUAAAGCUGGGUUUCUGUUGGCGACUUCUCUGGAUACCCAGUGUAAAGUUUGAUGCACACAAAGCUGAAGGAACUCGCAUUUAAAAGUGGGCCCUUGAAGGUUCAUUGGUGUGUGGCUAAUAAGAUAUAUCUUUGAAAAUGGCUUUGUGAGUGUCCAAAGACUAAUAAAGAUUGGUGUUGAAACUUUUUCAGUAUCCACUAGGAUGGAGUUGACUCUAGAAUGUACCUUCUACUUUUCAGAAUUAAAUAGGCCAAAUGAAGCGAGAUCUUGGGGUGACUCUCACUAGUAAUAUUUGUGUGUGUGUGUGUUUGUGUGUGUGUGUGUGUGUGUCUGUUUAUGUGCCAUAUGUGAGUGCGCAUGUCUUUGCUGAUAAAUGUUUAUGGGUGUAUGUAGAUUUGUAGAGCCAAAGGACUACCUUGAGUAUUACUCUUAUCAUUCUUCAGGGGCCAUCCUUCCAUUUGUUUGUUUGUUUGUUUGUUCUUUGUUGUUGUUUUGAGACAGGGCCUGAAACUUAUCAAAUAGGCUAGACUGGCUGGAGAGAGUACACUAAGUGACUUCCUGUCAGUUUUAGGAUUAUGUACUCUGCUUUGUUUUAGGAAUAUCAAUCUUUACUAUUCUCUUUCAUAUUAAGAUGCUGUGAAUAACACAGCCUUGGCCUGGAUAGUGUCUUAUUAUAGGCAAUGCUAGCUAGUUUUAUGUCAACUUGACAAAAUCCAGAGUCAUUUGGGAAGAAGAAACUUUACUUAUGAAAGUGGUCCCCGCCAUAUUGGAUUGUGGGUAAAUCUGUGGUGCAUUCCCUAGAUUGAUGAGUGUUGUGAGACAGUUCAGACCCAAAAAGAGCAGGCUGAGAAAACCAACAAGCAGCAUUCCUCCAUGGCCUUCAAUUCCUAAGUUUUAAGUUCUGCCCUGCAUGAGUUCCUGUCCUGACUUCCCAGGAUGAUACACUACAACUUGUAAGGUAAAAUGAACCCUUUCUUUCCAACAUUGAUUUAUCCAUGGCACUUCAUCGUGACUAUAGAAACCCUAACUAUAACAUAGGUCCAUAGAUAUUUCUGAUUUUAUCAACAAAAUCUAUGGUAUGGUUAACAAAACAAAACCAACCAAAAUUAGCUUUAAAAUGGAAAGAUUUGAGCUUGUGUUGUGUUUUUCUAAUUACAGUAAGGAGGUCUUAGAUAUACUAUUCCUUUAUCCAACUACUAUGGGUUCUGUACUUUGUACUAGGAGCUUCUCUUUAGAUGCAGGAGAUUAUGUGUGUGAAGGAAGUGAAAAUAGUUGGGCUCGUGUGGACUAAUCGGCAUAUGCUCACCUGCAGGUAUAGCUGAGGUCCUUCGUCUGCAGUCGUUUCUUCAGAGUUAGCUGAGAUGUGGAAGACCUUGAUCUUCACUCAUAAUUGGCACAGAUAGCCGCAGCAUCUGCUCUGCCCUUGUUAUCAUGCUUGCAACUUCCAGCUUUGUUCUGUAUAAUCCACGAAGCUGUUUGCCCUCAGAACUCAGUUUGCACUUUGUCAUUCAUGGAUGUUGCUCAGGUCCUAAAGAUCAAUUGGAGCACUUCCCCUUUCCCCUUUCCAGGUGUUUUGUAUGACACAUUUCCUCAGUGACUUACUCUCUUCACAGAUCUCCACCAUUCUAGACUCUUUAGAUGUAUCAGAGACCAAGACAGCAACAAAAUAAAAAGAAAAAACCUACAUGUGAAGGUUACAUUUUAAAGAAUUUGAUACAAUGAGGUAAAGUGAUUAAUACAGUGUAGAAUCCAAGUUACAAAUAUAGGAAUCUGUAUAUGUUCAGAGGCAGGGGAACUCCCCCCUCCUCUUGUGGUGAUUCAAAUGAGAUCUGCUUCUGCCUUUUGAAUACUGGCAUGGCCAGCCUGAAUCACCACACCUGGUUUAUUUAGUGCUAGAGGUUAAACCCAGGGCGUCCUGCAUUCUAGGCAAGCACUCUACCUAGAUCUGUUCUGAGCCUCAGAUCUCUACUUGUGUUUUUUAAAUAUUUUGUUACUAGAUAAGAUUCUGCAAUAAUACUUAGCUCCAAUUAUUUGUUUCUUUUAAGGAUCUAAUUUGAAGGUGAGAGUUGCUCUAUGCUAAUUAAUCUGAGGCCUUUAAAAGAUGCAUUUAUUGAAGUUGAAAUAGUCAUGAACGAAACUUAUUUAGAAAAUGCCAAUUAUAUUCCUCAAUGUCUUAAUAAAUAUAUAUUGCAUUAAAAGGAGUACUUUGUAGUUAUACAGUGUAAUUAUAUGUUUGAACAAGCUAUCUCUAGAACUAAAUGAGUUUCAUUAACUACCAAGACAAUUAGUUUAUAUUUCUGUUGAAAUAUGUUAUUAUCAUAUAUACUUUUGGUAGUGAGUUCAUACAAUGUUUUACAAUGGUAUUUAACCACUUAAUCAAUUAUACUGAGUUUUAGUGCGAAACAAUAUUAGAGUCCCCUGAUUUGGCACUUUAGGUAUUGAACAUACACAUAAAGUUAAGAUAUUUUCACCUCAACCACUAAAUACAAAAUAGCAGAAGAGGUUUUAAAAGUUCCAGCUCCCCAAAGGAAUGUGAUUUUGUGUUCAAAUGCUUUAUCAUGUGUUGCUUGGUCCUUUGCCUACUUUACAUAGCUAGAGUAAUAUGGGAAAAGGAAAAUCCCAAUUGAGAAAAUUUCCCCAACUGUGUGGCAAGUAGGCAAGGCUCUGAGGUAUUUUCAUCAUUAAUAGUUGAUAUGGGAGGGCCCAGUUCACUGUGGUUGGUUUUACCCCUGGACAGGAGUUCCUGGGAACUUAACAAAACUGGCUAAGUAAGCCAUGGGGAGGAAGCCAGUAAACAGUAUUACUCCAUGGUGUCUACUUCCGGUUCUUGCUUCUAUGUUCCUUACUUGAGUUCCUGUCCGGUCUUUUCUCAGUGAUGGUCUGUGAGCUGUGAAACGAAAUGAACUCGUUCUUCUUGAGGCUGGUUUUGGUCAUAGUACCUUAUCACAGCAAUAGAAAGUAAACCUGAAACCAAGCUAGAGUUUUGUUUUUGGUUUUGUUGUUGUUGUUAAUUUUUUUAUUUAAUUUUUUUUACACUCCUGAUUUUAUUUCCCUCCAGGUUCACCCUCCAACUGUUCCACAUCCCAUACCUCGUUCCCACCCCUUGUCUCCACAAGGAUGUAUAACUAUCACCAGCUGAUAACGUCAGCUGCUGACUAACAAAAGUGUGUAGACACUUGCCUGGGGACACUAGGAGGACCAAACCUUUCAGACCUCUGCUUGUCUCUAGAGGGCCACACCUGCUUACCAAGGGUACUGUGGAGCAACUGAGAAGCUUUUCUGCUGCUAACUGUAAAGCGAAUGUCUGCCAAGAACUUAGAAAGUGUUCCUCUGAGGCUGCAUACAUUUGGUACCAUUUUGUCACUGUGAUGCUGAGUUUUAGAAGUGCAUUAUUAUGGAUUUAUUAUAAAGACAUAAUAAUAUAUCCUGAAGUGUGAUUUGUAUGAACAUAUGCAUACAGUGAGUCAGGACCCCGUUGGAGUUCACAUAAUGUAUAUUUUGCACAUCAGAUAUAUAUAUUGUGAUUCAUAAAGACAGCAAGAUUACAAUGAUGGAGUAGCAAUGAAAUAAUUUUAUGAUUGGGGAUCAGUACAGCAUGAGCAACUAUAUUAAAGGGUUGUAGCACUAAGAAGGUUGAGAACUGCUGUCCGAGAGCCCAGGGGAGCAUACAUUAUAGGCUUAGGAGUUACAUAGGAUGUCCUCAGAUAUCUGACCACAUCCAAUAAAACCUGUGCCUCCUUCAUAGUCAAGAAAGAUUUCAGAGUUCAUCACUUAACUCCUGCACCACAGGGUCUAAGCAGCCCCAUCCCUUUUCUUUUCUUUCCUUUUCUUUUCUUUCCUUUUCUUUUCUUUCCUUUUCUUUUCUUUUCUUUCCUUUUCUUUUCUUUUUCCAUCUUUAUUAACUUGAGUAUUUCUUAUCUACAUUUCAAUUGUUACUCCCCUUCCAGGUUUCUGGGCCAUCUCCCUAGCUGCUCCCCCUCCCCUCCUGUGUGGGUGUUCCCCUCCCCAUCCUCCCCCCAUUACCACCUUCCUCCCCAACAAUCACUUUCACUGGGGGUUCAGUCUUGGCAGGACCCAGGGCUCCCCCUUCCACUGGUGCUCUUACUAGGCUAUUCAUUGCUACCUAUGAGGUCAGAGUCCAGGGUCAGUCCAUGUAUAGUCUUUGGGUAGUGGCUUAGUCCCUGGAAGCUCUGGUUGGUUGGCAUUGUUGUUCAUAUGGGGUCUCAAGCCCCUUCAAGCUCUUUCAGUCCUUUCUAAGAUUCCUUCAAUGGGGGUCCCGUUCUCAGUUCCGUGGUUUGCUGCUGGCAUUCACCUAUGUAUUUGCUGUAUUCUGGCUGUGUCUCUCAAGAGAGAUCUACAUCCGGCUCCUGUCGGCCUGCACUUCUUUGCUUCAUCCAUCUUAUCUAGUUUGGUGGCUGUAUAUGUAUGGGCCACAUGUGGGGCAGGCUCUGAAUGGGUGUUCCUUCUGCCUCUGUUCUAUCUUCUCUUCAUUGCUUCCUGGCUUGCUAUUUUGUAACUGAAGUCAUCUUUACCCUUUCCUUCCCCUAUUGAUUCGUCUCUUUGGUUUUCUCUAGAGUAUACCUAGAUGAGGUCUCUUUUAAAUUAUUGUGUUAUUUUUGAAGUUACAAUUGUGCAUUUUGAGGUAUAUGUAUCUUGUAGAAUAUCUGAGCAGGCCCAGUGACACUAAACUAUCUGAUAUCAAUACCUUUUUUGAUUUGAAAACUUAAUUUCCAUUCUUGGCAUUCUAAAGAACACCAGAUAUUAUUCAGUAUUCUCAUUGUUUUACUGCAGACAUCUUCCUAUAAAUGUGAAUGUGUGUAAAUGAACCCGUCUUUCUUUCAAGUGAUGCCAAUCCAGUUUUACCUCCUUUCUGCUUUCUGCCCCAACUAUUAUACUCUUUAGCCAUGUGACGGUGUGAUUUUAGACUGUGUGAGUGAAUUAAGGCCCCUUGGUAUUGUUUCAGUGUCCUGGUUCUUGUCUUCAAGGUUACACCAUGUUAAUGUGAAGAGCAGAUUUCAUUCAUUUUGAUGACUAAAUAGCAUUUCUUGGUUCAUAUUAUCCAAAUGCCUUUGCCCAUUAAUAUAUUGAUAUACUUUAAGGUGAAUCACAUUUUGUGACUUCGACUAAUGAUGCUGGCCUAAACAGUAAUGUGGUGAUGUCUCUGCACCAUAUUGAAUUCCUUUCUUUUGGACUCGCCAGAUCAUAAAGUACUUCUAUUUUUCUGCUGUGCUUGAUGAACUUAUCCACUGUUUUCCAUGAUGACUGUGCUCAUUUCUAUCCCUACUAAUGUUGCGCAUGGGUCCCUUGAACUCCACAUACUUGUCAACACGUGUUCUCUUCUAUCUGCUUGGUAACAGCAGCUCUAACAGGUGGGAAGUGAUGCUGCAUGACUUAUGUGCACAUCGCCUGACACAGAGCUGGCUGUCAGUUACUGACUGGCUGAAUGGGGAACAGGUGUGGAUUUCACAUAGCUUAACACAUGUAUUUUUCUUAGGCAGAGGCGCCUCUUAAGGCUCCCAGAGUAUAAUCAGUUAUUCUGCCUGGUUCAAGGUGGCUUCAUACAUAAGGUGUAAAAUCUUAGCACUGCAAUCUGUGGGCAAUUUAGUACUGUGGGCACUGCACGAAGAGUCCUGUUCAAGGACUCAGUGUUGUCCUAAGAAAGUUUGGUUCCUAACUUACAGCUCUAUGGACAGGGGUAGCGCCUUUAGCGUGUGGGACGUGUUGGAAUGAAGAUGGGUCACUGGGGAUUAUUAGGAUGCCACUCUACACCUUAUCUCCCAGAUAACACAAUUGAACAAUUUUGCCCUUUCCUGAGGCUCCACCUCACCCAGUGCUAGAAAAAGAGGGUUUUUAGCAUCCUCCACAGAGAAAAGCCAUGAGCCAAAAAAAAAAAAUCCUGUUCUUCUCUUAAGUUGGUUUUUACAGGUAACUUGUCUGGUACAGAACUCUGAGUAGCACAAAAAGCAAGUAACAGCUAGUAUAACCAAUGCAAAAGCUGAGGGAGAUGUGAGGUGAAAGAUAUGAAUGCUGUAAUAUGUGUCUCAUGAUGGUGGCGCUGAUGAUUCAUGAAUUAUAUUAUUAUUGGUGUUAUAGUACUAAUAUUAUUUUGAGACUAUGAUUAAACAACCUUGUCUCUGUGAGGAAGACCCAGACCACAGACUUUCCGAAGUUGGAUUUAGCAGUUUGGUCCUUCUUUCUGAGUCUGGGGCUUGCUUAUUAUGUGACACAUCCUAUAUGACCUGAGCCUAGAAAUCUGACAAAAACGCGCAGGUUAUGUUGGCUCUGCUGACUCUGCUGGGGCAGCACCAACCGAGAAGCAAGCUGGAACCUCAGCUUCUGUUACCUUUAGGACAGAGGGGAGAAGUCCGCCAAUGCAGGUAGGCGGGCUCUGUAGGUGCGUACUCUUAGACUGUCCUCAGAGGAAGUUGUCGUUACUAGUUAGUGCAAAUACUGUUCAAAUCCUUCCAGACUUCCUCGGCUCCCCACACUUCUCUGUCCUGAUUUCUUAUGCAAUCUGAAUGUCUCAGUCUGUGUAAUAAAAAAAAAAAAUACUGCUGUCUGGUGGAAUUUGAAAGAGACUUUAUAGUCUCCCGUGCUUACUUUGAAGUAACUUAAAUCAUAGAAACCAGGUGACCAUAGGGACACAUUGCUGUCUUUGGCCAUUGAUUGCUUUAGAGAGACAUGAUUUGGUUUAAAACCUGCAGUUCUCGCUAUCUCCUGCCUAUCCUGUAACACAGCUCCUAUGGCCAGAGAAUUAUUCAACUAACCACGCAGGCUUCUUGAAGGCAGAGAGGGGCCAGAUCACCUGUAACUUGCUCCCACCUAUUUUACUGCAGCAGCUAAAGAAAAUGCCAAAAAUCAAAAGAAGUCUUUCAGGCCCUCGGUUCAAAAUAGAAAGUCUGGACAAAGCUAAUUGAUUUUAGGCUCACUGUUGUUCAUUAUCUUAAUUAGUCUAGGCAAUUAAAACAUUAAUUGAUUGGAGUUGAUCCCUUGCUAACAAACAGUAAAACUGCUUUUUGGCUUGAUUCUCUAAGAAGUACUGUUUCAUGUAUCCAUGCUCUUCUUCAGCUGAGGCAUCUACACUGUGAAGAAGUGUCCUUUUAUUCCGUCCAUCCCAUGGGAACUGUGGCGUAGGAAUGUUCUGCUCUCUUGACAUAGAACUGUAGCUACUGCAGUCCAUCAACAAUAUCAGUGCAAUCCGAACCUGGCUACGGUUGCUUAACACUGUCUGCUAAAGCGAGCAGCUGCAGCGUCUCCAGUGACAAGCUGGACUUGGCAGUGGGCUUCCCUAGGCUGCUGUGCUUUGCUUGGGUACUUCUGUGAAACUGACGGAUUGUUCCUGCGGGGCAUGUGUUCGUAUAACUCACACCUUGGGAUUGUAUUUUCUUUCUCAGGUUCAAAGCCUUGUAUAAUCACUGCUUCCUAACUAAAUGAAGUGCUUUGGAAACUGCAGAGUCCCCUUGAGUCUGAGAAAGGGAUGGGGGAGGGGCAGGCUUGGAGGGCUCCAGGUAGAUCUUGUAACUUUAUUAGGAGGGGCUGUGGAAGAGCUAGUUCAAGUGUGAAAAUCUCUUUAAGAAUGAACUACUAAUCCAAUAAUUACAGUAUUCUAAUCAGACUAAUGAUGCAGAAGAAAGGCAGCAAGGGCUUGCUUUAACAGGAAAAAUAAGUAAAGCUCCCUGAAAAUCCUGGUGUAUUUUAUUUCAGAAGAAUUUCUGCAAUAAGUUGGUUGAUCUCUUAGAUGUGAGGCUUGCCUUUUUCAUUUGAUGCUAUCUUUUAUUAGGUGCCCCUAGAAAAUAAUCAUGGAAAUAAUGAAAUUCUCGAUUGGCAAUUGGCUUUUAGCUUUCUUUUUGGUCAGUUUGAGUACUUUGUAUUUCAAGUUGAUACAACAGCCUAGCAGUCAGAGCACAGUAAGAUUGAAAUGGACAUCGGCCUUGGCAGUGACACACUGGUGACACUGUGCGGCAUAGUCAGCCUCUUUGUUGUUAUUGACAUGGCUGUGAUGACUCUACUCAGAAUAAAGUUCAGAAAACAAAUGUAAAUCCUAGAUAUUAUUAUUUAGUAAUUUAGAGACUUAUGCUUAUUGUAUCUCCAGUACUUAGUUAUGGCUGCUGUCUCAUCUAAGAAAAAGAAUUAUAUUUAUUUUAUAAUUAUAAAGAUAUCUUCUGUAUAGAUGCACAUAUACCAUCCUGAGAAAUGUUCACUAUGAGCAGGAUGAGUGAUCCUUCUUUGCUCUCAAUGUAGAAGUGUUUAAUUGCUCUCUAGUCUGGGAAGAACAUGGGUCUUUCCUAUUUAUAAUUUGCUACUGAUUUCUUUCAUUCUUUUUGUACUAGAAAUGCUGAUGCAAAAGUGAAA